CACGCCGUAAACGUUGAGAACUAAGUGUUGGGGAGACCCAGUGCUGAAGCUAACGCAUUAAGUUCUCCGCCUGAGGAGUACGCACGCAAGUGUAAAACUUAAAGGAAUUGACGGGGGCCCGCACAAGCAGUGGAGCAUGUGGUUUAAUUCGUGGCUACGCGAAGAACCUUACCAGGGCUUGACAUCCUCUGACAACCCUAGAGAUAGGGCUUUUCUACGGAACAGAGUGACAGGUGG
rnacentral:rRNA from 1 species